UAUUCCAAUUCUCUUUCCAGUCAUUUUUAGAGCUGCUAUACCAGUGUAUCUCAGGUACUGGAUCAAUGGGUUUCAAUUGGUGGGUGUUGGUUCAAUGCAGUGCUCUAUAUGGAUACAGUAAUGAUGGAGUCUGGAAUGAUGAUUUUAAAAUUAAUGCACAAUGGACGAUAAUUAAAGACAUUAUUAACAAAACAUUAAACUCAGAUGAAGGUGAAUUAGCUCAUCGCUGGUCCAUUAAUUGCUGUAAUUAUAUUUAUAAUAACUGGAGUCCUUUCAAUGCUUAUCCUAUUAUUAUUGCGUGGGAAUAUUACCUGAAGAACGUGAAUAACUAGUUUGUUAUUUCUGAUUUUGAAAUUAAAAGGCUACUGAUAUGAGAGAGUGGUUAUAAAGACAUUCUUGAGGCAAUUGGAUCAAGUGAAGAAUUAACAUCAUCAUCAUCAUCAUCAUCAUCAUCAUCAUCAUCAUCUAGCUGAGUCCUGAUCUCUACCUCCUCCU